rnacentral:lncRNA from 1 species
GUACCACUACUGAACGUUAUUGCUAUGUUAUGACAGCAUCAUCGGCCUGCAUAGACCAAUUCGUUGGAAAGUGUUGGACGAACAUGACAGUGAUUACAUAUAUAUAAUUAACAAUAGGUAGAUAGCUCAUAAAUCAAUCGAUCAUCGAGCAACGAGCAUAAACUUCAAAGAUCAACAGUAAUAUAUCGAAUCACUUCAGAUAAACGGUGAGAUAAACAGAUCAUGUCCACCAUACGCAGAUCAAAACACCUCGAACUUAAGCCUUGAGUUCAAAACAUUACUUGCCACAAGUAACAGAUCUAAAAGACAUAAAGCAUAAUAUAGGGGUACGAUGACGAUGCGGAGGAACCUAGGCGCGGUUGCCACCGCGGGGUCCGUUGAAGGGCUGGCGGUAGGGGGCGGCGGCAGAGGUGGUUUCGGGGGCGCGCUCGACGCCGGGGAGGUCAGCCAUGCCGAGGAACGCCAGCAUGUCCAUGGUCUCCUUGUCGACGCGGAUCUCGUCGACCUCGAGCGCCGACUUCUCCGGCACGAAGUCCAUGCGGCGCUCACGCUCCUCCUCCUGCAGCUUGAGGGAGAUGCCGCGCACGGGGCCGCGCUGGAUGCGGCGCAUCAGAUGGGUGGUGAAGCCGGCCACCUUGUUGCGGAGGCGCUUCGACUGGAGGAUGGAGACCUCCUCUAGCACCUUCUUGUUGGUGUGGAAGUCGAGGGUCAUCCGAGAGUAGUACUUCUCGAUGACCUGGCGGGAGGUCUUCUUCACGGUCUUGGUGCGGACGCGACCCAU